GCCAGGUGUGGUGGUGCAUGCCUGUAGUCCAAGCUCCCUGGGAGGCUGAGGUAGGAGGAUCACCUGAGCCUGGGAGGUCGAGGGUGCAGUGAGUUGUUAUUGUGCUACUGCACUCCAGCCUAGGAGACAGAGUGGUAUCCUGUCUCAA
ensembl:misc_RNA Metazoa_SRP Metazoan signal recognition particle RNA